UGGGGAAUAUUGGACAAUGGGCGAAAGCCUGAUCCAGCCAUGCCGCGUGUGUGAAGAAGGCCUUUUGGCUGUAAAGCACUUUAAGUGGGGAGGAAAAGCUUAUGGUUAAUACCCAUAAGCCCUGACGUUACCCACAGAAUAAGCACCGGCUAACUCUGUGCCAGCAGCCGCGGUAAUACAGAGGGUGCAAGCGUUAAUCGGAAUUACUGGGCGUAAAGCGCGCGUAGGUGGUUAUUUAAGUCAGAUGUGAAAGCCCCGGGCUUAACCUGGGAACUGCAUCUGAUACUGGAUAACUAGAGUAGGUGAGAGGGGAGUAGAAUUCCAGGUGUAGCGGUGAAAUGCGUAGAGAUCUGGAGGAAUACCGAUGGCGAAGGCAGCUCCCUGGCAUCAUACUGACACUGAGGUGCGAAAGCGUGGGUAGCAAACAGGAUUAGAUACCCUGGUAGUCCACGCCGUAAACGAUGUCUACCAGUCGUUGGGUCUUUUAAAGACUUAGUGACGCAGUUAACGCAAUAAGUAGACCGCCUGGGGAGUACGGCCGCAAGGUUA
rnacentral:rRNA from 1 species